rnacentral:rRNA from 2 species
GGGAGCCUGAGAAACGGCUACCACAUCCAAGGAAGGCAGCAGGCGCGCAAAUUACCCAAUCCCGACACGGGGAGGUAGUGACAAUAAAUACUGAUACAGGGCUCUUUUGGGUCUUGUAAUUGGAAUGAGUACAAUUUAAAUCCCUUAACGAGGAACAAUUGGAGGGCAAGUCUGGUGCCAGCAGCCGCGGUAAUUCCAGCUCCAAUAGCGUAUAUUAAAGUUGUUGCAGUUAAAAAGCUCGUAGUUGAACCUUGGGCCUGGCUGGCCGGUCCGCCUCACCGCGUGUACUGGUCCGGCCGGGCCUUUCCUUCUGGGGAACCUCAUGCCCUUCACUGGGCGUGCUGGGGAACCAGGACUUUUACUUUGAAAAAAUUAGAGUGUUCAAAGCAGGCCUUUGCUCGAAUACAUUAGCAUGGAAUAAUAGAAUAGGACGUGUGGUUCUAUUUUGUUGGUUUCUAGGACCGCCGUAAUGAUUAAUAGGGAUAGUCGGGGGCAUCAGUAUUCAAGCGUCAGAGGUGAAAUUCUUGGAUUGCUUGAAGACUAACUACUGCGAAAGCAUUUGCCAAGGAUGUUUUCAUUAAUCAGUGAACGAAAGUUAGGGGAUCGAAGACGAUCAGAUACCGUCGUAGUCUUAACCAUA